CUCACUCCUCUACGCUCCAAAGCUUCCGGAAAUGGCGGACGACGAUGAGAAGGCGCUGUUGCUGCGUUUCCGAAUCGGCCAGAGGAUCCACGCGGCCGGAAACCCUCAGAGGACCGGGACGGUCUGCUAUGUCGGCCCCGUCGACGGCCACGCCGGUGAAUGGAUCGGCGUCGACUGGGACGAUGACGAGGGCAAGCACGAUGGCUCCGUCAAUGGAGUCCGAUACUUCUCGGCGCGAGGUGAACGAUCGGCGUCUCUCGUCCGUCCCAAGAACCUCAGCGCUGGGAUCUCGCUCAUCGAUGCCCUAUAUACUCGGUACCGAAGCGAUACCACCACCACCAAAGAAGAGGAAGAUGAAAUGUAUGUUCAUUCUAUGAGCAAUAAACGUGUCCAGAUCCAGCUCGUGGGGAAGCAUAAGGUUGAGGAGAAGUUGAAGCGACUGGAUGAGAUUUGCAGCAUGUCAACAGCUUAUUUGGGAGUUAGCUCUGUUGGAUCUUCUCAUGAGAUCACUGCUCUAGUUCCAAAGCUCAAGGAGCUUGACUUGACUGGCAACCUGCUCUCAAAGUGGCAAGAUAUCACUUCAAUUUGCAAAGCUUUACCAGCCCUUGAAGUUAUCAAUCUCACAAGGAAUUUUUUGGAGGAUGAAAUUGGCGUAGCUGAGUUGUCAUUACUUGAUAGAAUUCGUGUUUUGGUUCUUAAUAACUGUGAUGUAACAUGGGAACAGGUUGAAAAGCUUAAACCAUCAUUGGAAUCCAUUGAAGAGCUCCAUUUAAUGGCAAAUAAUUUACAGAGCAUUGUGCCAUCUCCUCCACCUACAAAAUUUGUUGAGGGAUUUGAUUCAUUGCGUCUCCUAAGUUUGGAGUACAACUUUAUUGAUGAUUGGGAUGAAGUUGUGAAGCUUUGCCAUCUUAGAAGCUUGGAACAGCUUCAUUUGAACAACAACAAUUUGAAGCGUAUAUACUAUCCUGCAAACCCAACUUCCUUGGAUAGCACAAAGAUAGAUAGUAGAUGUGACAGGGCAUUUAAGAAUUUGCAGUGCCUUCUUCUUGGAUCUAAUCAGAUUGAAGACUUGGCAUCUAUUGAUUCCCUCAACUUUUUCCCUAAUUUGUUGGAUGUUAGGCUUUCUGGGAAUCCAAUUGAUGAUCCAGCCAAAGGUGGUGUGCCAAGAUUUGCUUUGAUUGCGCGUCUAGGAAAAAUCAAAAUAUUAAAUGGGAGUGAGGUGACCUCUCGUGAGAGGAGGGAAUCUGAAAUACGAUAUGUCCGUCUUGUUAUGGCCAAGAUGCAAGCUGAAAAUUUAGCUGAGAUUGAGCAACUGCAUCCUAGAUUUUCUGAACUUAAGUUGCUCCAUGGCAUUGAUGAUGAGAAGCCUGCAACUGGAACUGCAGGCCCUCAGAAAAUGUCUGCUGGACUUCUUUGUAUCACAUUGAAAUGUGUGGGACCUUCCAUGGGAGAGAAGUUGCCUUUAACAAAAAAGUUACCACCAAACACUACUGUGGGUAGGCUAAAAGCUCUAUGUGAGAGUUUUUUUAAACUAAAAGGUAUCAGGCCAAGAUUGUUUAUUCAAGAAGAGGGUUCACCAUUGCCUCAAUUUCUUGAUGAUGACAUGGCUUCUUUGCUGGAUCUUGGAUUUGACUCAGAAGCUACAAUUCUGGUAGAUGAAGAAAGUUCCUGAUUUAUAAUUUAUAUCUGAGGAUUCAUAAAAAUGUGAGCACUGAAAUCAAAGAUAUUAAACAAAUCAACUUUGCAAAUUACAUCGCCUUUGCAGAAACUUAAAACUCUCAUCCCUCUGCUUGCAGUAAGCAAUUUUUUAUUAAUCCAUAAUCUGUUUUUUUGGGCUUCUGUAUAGGCAGUAGUUACAUGGAUUUGUUGAUCCACUCCGGUUGCUGCUCCCUGCUAUCUUUGAAAAUUGAAUGAACCUUACUGUUAGACCCAAAUUUUCCAAAGUUUGUUGUUCCAUUUUGUAAUCUAGGGGUUGCAUGUCAUCAAUUCCUCUUUUAAAUGAAUUCUUGCUCCUCAAUUUGUAAAAGUUGACUAUAGUCUUGGCAAUCCACUUGGACAUGGAAGGUGCAAAAUAUUGCUGUCAAAAUAAUCUAUGUAUUCUUGAGUUAUUUAUUA